AAUGAACGCUGGCGGCAGGCCUAACACAUGCAAGUCGAGCGGAGAGGCGGACGGGUGAGGAAGGCCUAGGAAUCUGCAUGGUGGUGGGGGAUAAAGUACGGAAAGGAGAGCUAAUACAGCAGGCUAUCAAAGCAGUCUAGGUGGGAGUAGCUAGUUGGUGGGGUAAUGGCAUACCAAGGAGACGAAGCGUAACUGGUCUGAGAGGAUGAUCAGUCACACUGGAACUGAGACACGGUCCAGACUCCUACGGGAGGCAGCAGUGGGGAAUAUUGGACAAUGGGCGAAAGCCUGAUCCAGCCAUGCCGCGUGUGUGAAGAAGGUCUUCGGAUUGUAAAGCACUUUAAGUUGGGAGGCGUUACCAACAGAAUAAGCACCGGCUAACUUCGUGCCAGCAGCCGCGGUAAUUC
rnacentral:rRNA from 1 species